rnacentral:tRNA from 1 species
UGAGGCUGUAGCUUAGAGAUAGAGCACUUGCCUUACAUGCACUGGGCCCUGGGUUCAAUUCCCAGCUCCACAA